AUUGAACGCUGGCGGCAUGCUUUACACAUGCAAGUCGAACGGUAACAGGCCGCAAGGUGCUGACGAGUGGCGAACGGGUGAGUAAUGCAUCGGAACGUGCCCAGUCGUGGGGGAUAACGCAGCGAAAGCUGUUCUAAUACCGCAUACGAUCUAUGGAUGAAAGCGGGGGACCGUAAGGCCUCGCUCGAUUGGAGCGGCCGAUGUCAGAUUAGGUAGUUGGUGGGGUAAAGGCUCACCAAGCCAACGAUCUGUAGCUGGUCUGAGAGGACGACGAGCCACACUGGGACUGAGACACGGCCCAGACUCCUACGGGAGGCAGCAGUGGGGAAUUUUGGACAAUGGGCGCAAGCCUGAUCCAGCAAUGCCGCGUGCAGGAAGAAGGCCUUCGGGUUGUAAACUGCUUUUGUACGGAACGAAAAGGUUUGGGUUAAUACCCUGGGCCGAUGACGGUACCGUAAGAAUAAGCACCGGCUAACUACGUGCCAGCAGCCGCGGUAA
rnacentral:rRNA from 1 species